UAUAGGCCUAUGUCAUAGAAUCUCUUUUGCUAGUUUUGCUACAAAAAUAAUAAAAAAAUCAUACGGUAUAUUCCCACAAGACGAUUGAAGAAGUUUUCUCAUGCUGUGGAAAAUUAUCAUUUACAAAAUAAGAUUCUCAAGAGAUAAGCCACAAAACUGGGAAUCUCACUUGUGCCUAGUAGAAGCUGCCAGGAAAAUCAUGAUUUGCGAGGAUUGAUAUUAUGGCAUCGCGUUAUCCUUGAGGCCAAAUACGGCACAACGACCGUGAAGCUCAAUAGAGUAUCCAAUUGGAGAACCUAUGUUUUCGAAAUUGUCGACAGAGCGGCUACCGAAGAACGGAAA